GUUUCCAAGCUAGACUCAGUCGCCUUCAUGGAAUGUCUUCAAAGAAUAUUAAAAAAUCUGGAGGGACUCCAACUUCAAUGGUACCCAUUCCUGGCCCAGUGGGUAACAAGAGAAUGGUUCAUUUUUCCCCGGAUUCUCAUCACCAUGACCAUUGGUUUAGCCCUGGGGCUAGGACAGAGCAUGACCAGGUCACUAAUAAGGGGAUUGUAUCUUCGUUUGGCCUAAGUCCAGCAAUCUGAAAGUUGGAAGGUGGAGACCAAGGCUUAGAGAAGUUAAGUACUUUGCCUAAAGUUACACAGGUUGUAAAUGGUAAAGCUAUUAUUGGAACCUAGUGACUUUUUAGUUACUGGCCCAGCUGGGAUUAGAACCCAGCUCUAUCCUGUAUUAUUAUUUCCAAGACUUUUAUUUUUGUUGGGGUUAAUUGCUAAUAUUCUGUACAACU
rnacentral:lncRNA from 1 species